rnacentral:misc_RNA from 1 species
CAACCCUCAAGCCCCCGGGCUUGGUGUUGGGGAUCGGCCCGCCCCUUGCGGCAGGCCGGCCCCGAAAUCUAGUGGCGGUCCCGCUGUAGCCUCCUCUGCGUAGUAGCAACACCUCGCACCGGAACGCGGCGGCGCCCUGCCGUAAAACCCCCAACUUCUAAU